rnacentral:tRNA from 2 species
GCUGAUAUAGCUCAGAUUGGUAGAGCACAUCCAUGGUAGGGAUGAGGUCCCUAGUUCAAUUCUAGGUAUCAGCA